UGGGAGUCGCAUACGUAUGCAAAUGUAAAAGACUGUUUGUAUAUCACUUAUCUCCCAAUAUUAUUAUGGUUUUCUGAUGACCGCAGGUAGUUAAGUUACAAACUGUGGACAGAUACGAAGCCUACAGCA